rnacentral:lncRNA from 1 species
AUGUCACUGUGGCUGACUCAGGGUAUGACCUUGUUUUGUGUUCUCUUCUCUCCUGCCCUCUCUCCAGGGGUGGAGUAUCAAAAACUAAAUUCCUUGAUUCAGUGUUAUGUAGAACACCAAAAAAAGUUUUUUUUUUUAAUCCUAUGUUGUUCUCAGUUAUGUUCUUUGACAAGUAAUUAACUGCUAGCCGUCAAAAUCUGAAUUUUUAAUUCAGCACCCACUAUGAGCAAGGCUUUGUGCUAUGUUAUCACUGUGAAGGACAUAAAGUUGAAUCAGAUGUUAACUGCUAUUGAAGAACUCACAGUUUACAUGGAGAUAUAAAGUAUAUAGAGAAAUAACUACAAGGUGGAGGGAUUAUGGAAUAUCAUAUGAGUAGUAUGAAAAAUUUCAGGAAUUCAAAGGAGACGUUUAUUUCUGGCUCAAGAGAAGGAUUCAAGGAUGAGAGGUCAUGGUAAGAACUUGGAAUUGCAUAGGAUUUGUAUAGAUAAUGGUUGAAAGUAAGGGAGAAAGGAAUGAAAGAAAGCUAUCUUGAUUACAUGUCAUAAUAUAAUGCAUUAAUUAAACAUUUGCUUCUUGUUUAAAAAAAAACAAAGAAAGGUAAAACAUUGAAAAGAGUAGAUGAAAAAGAUCUAGAAUCCAGCAGACAGAUUUAAUAAGCCUAAGAACAUAAGCUUCUAGAGAAGGAGAUUUUUAUUGAAUAAGAAAUUUGGAGAAAACAAAAGGCAGUUUGGAGAAAAUUGGUUGAAUUAACAUCCUUCUUCACACAAGAAGGUAUUAAAGAAGGAGAUAUUUAUUAAACUCCUGCUGUGUGCUGUUUUAAGGCCUUAUAAAUACUGUUACAGCCUCAUAAUAACUCUGGAAAGAAGAUACUGUCAUUAUCCUCAUUUUACAAUUGAGGAAACUGUGGUAGGCAGAGACUAAAUGAUUUGCCCAAGGCCAGAUAGUUAAGAAGAGACUAAUGGAUUAAUGAUCUCAGUAUAAUAGGUCAUGCCAUUAAGUAAUUAGUGAAGAAAGGAAAGUUAAACCUUUUAUACAGGUUAUAGAGAACAGAUUAUGCUGUAGGGGCUGGUACACUGUUAAUGAAACUGUGAAUUAUCUCACCAACUCUAGAAUAAUCUUUGUAAUUGUGUAAAAUUUGUAACAAUUUAUAAUUAUGAAAAUAUUAUUAUAUUAUUUUUGUUGUUGUUCAAUCAUUUUAAUCAUGUCCAACAUUUGGUGAUCCCAUUUGGUGUUUCCUUGGCAAAGAUACUUGAGUAAUCAUCAUUUCUUCCUCCAGCUCAUUUUAUAGAUGAGAAGUUGAGAGAAAUAUGGUUAAGUGACUUGGCCAGGAUCACCUAGCUAGAAAGUGUCUGAGUCCACAUUUGAACUCAGGAAGAUGAGUUUUCCUGACUUCAUGCUGGGCACUCUAUCUUUUGUACCAUCAUGCAUGUCUCUUAAUCCAUCAAAUCUUUACUUUACUUAUAACCUAGAGGUAUUGUUGAUAGAACUAGAGAAUCUAGAAAAAGGUUCAUAAUAGCACUAUUUGUUACUAAAAAAAAAAAAAGAUGGAAUGAAGAAAAUAUCCAUUGAUGCUAUAAUUAACUUGAAAUAAGGAACUGGAUUCAAAUCUCAUCUCAGGCUUUUGUUAAUUGUAAUAUGAAUUAUUAAUAAUAAUAAUACUCUUCAAGGUUUACAAAGCAUUUUACAAAUAUUUGUAUUUUAUCUUCAACAUCAACUGAUUUUAAGAGGUGAAAAGAUUGAGGCAGACAGAAGCUAUGUGACUUUCCUAGGGUGACAAAUUUAAUGUCUGAGACCAGAUCUGAAUUUGGACCUUCUUGAUUCAAGGUUCAAUGCUCUGCCUAGGAGUCUCUGAUCCUAGACAAAUCACUUAAUCACUUUUUACUUCAAGUGUAUCUUCCAUAAAAUAAAAAGUUUGUAAUUGAUGGCCUCAAAUUUCCUGUUCUAUAAAUCUAUACCAUAAACAAAUUAUGGCAUCUAAAUAUAUAAUAAGAUAUUAGUAUACUGUAUCAUAAAAUAUGGACAAUUGAGAGAAACAUGAGAAAAUAUUAAUGAACCAACUGGGAAAAACAUUAAAGGAAAAGAACAAGUUUACAUGACUACUGAUAUGAAGACAACACAACAAGGAAAGAUAAUUCAGGAUAAACACAAUGAUCAUGGUUUGUUCCAGGUAUCUAAUAUUAGAGGACACUUUCUUGCUAUAUGUUAAGAAAGAGUGAACAUGGGGAAGACAGGUGGUUCAAGAAUAGAGCACUGGUCCUGGAGUUGGGAGGAUCUGAGUUCAAAUGUGACCCAUGAUACUUACUAGUUGUAUGACCCAGUUCAAGUCAUUGAAUCCCACUUGACUCUGAAACAAAAGGAGAAAAUGGUGAAACAAAAAAAGGAAUUUUAUGUGUCCGUUUUGUUCUAAUUCCUAUGCUAGAUUGUCUCAAAAUUAAAAAAAAAAUACAGGAAGUUUGGCAAAUUUUGAGGAGAGCAAUUAGGGGAAGGAAAAAUUAUUUUAUAUUUUUUAAAAAGAAUAAUGAUGUGACCAAAAUAAAAAGCUUAGCAGCAAAUAUUUAUUAAAAACUCACUGUGUCAGUGCACAUUGCUAAGCCAUAGAGAUACAAAGAAAAACAAAAACAUUACCUGCUCCCAAGAAGUUUAAAUUCUAAUAGAAAUCCCAUGUAAAUAACAGCAUCUCUAUCUAUCCAAACAUAUGUAGAUGGAAAAUAAUAUUCAAUGACAUUGGGAAAUUACUAUUUUAAUUCAAUGAAUCUCUGGAUAAAAUAAUGCUGAUUAUAACUCUUCUAUACCUUCUCAACCUAUAAAAUUCUUGUUCCUAUACAUUUAAAUCCUCACAAAAUAUUUGAUGUUAAUGUAUUCCUUAUUUAAUUGUAAGCUCCUUGAGGGCAGAGACCCUCUUUUACUUCUUUUUGUAUCCUUAAUGAAGGGAGGGAAACUGUUCCCUUUACUGAAAUUGUAUUCCCUUUAAGAUUAAUCACUCUAAAACUGUGUUCCCUUUUGAUCUGUGAUCCCUUUUGGAGUCUCCCCCCAGAUAAGUUAUCUUUAGGGGCUGCCAGACCCUUUGAUUCAAUUAGAAAUCUUGGUCAAAAAGCACCCCUUUGAAGUGUUGUUAAUUCCAAUUGGAGAUCUGGGCCGCAUACUGAUAAGCAUCAAGACCUAGAAAUUUUGUCUUCCUUUUCAAUCUGAAGCCUUAAGACUCCUUUUAAAGGGCAAUCUCUAAACUCACUCUUUGCAGAGGUCCAAAGCAGCUUGCUCUCCUUCUAGGACCCUACCCACUGAGAAAGCUUACUCUUCUCAGUGUCAGACUCCAUUUCCCUAAUAGGACUCUGUUACUAUAGAAGUAAGUCUCUUAGCA